GCCUCAUUAGUCUAGGGGUUACGACGUUGGAUUUUGAUUCCAAAAGCAUCAGUUCGAAUCUGAUAUGAGGCU
rnacentral:tRNA from 3 species